UUCUCCAUUUCUUGCAACAUAAACAACAGAGUUAUCCAAAGUUUUGCUCAAACAGCAUCAAAUUAGGCAAGGAAUCAUGCUACCCACGCUUUUUGCACCAUUUUAUUGUAGAAACGGAUAAUUGACCUUCUCACCAUACUAAAAUUUAGCUCAUUACUACAAAUCUAGUACUUCACCGAUCUGUCCUAUUGUCCCAAAGUUACAUUUGUUACUCGACUCUCUAGUACUACAAUGUGAAUGUUUAACCGUUAUGUGUCCGACAAACUUUUUGCUUUUUUCUACACCGUGUAUUUUAAAUGGGUGCUGGGUACCCGGGUACCCUGUCGGCCACAUAAGGGUUAAUGUGUUUUGAUAAUGAUACAAACGUCGCGAUGGAAUUGUAGGAUUCAGGAAUACUUGUUGGAGUCUGAAGUAGACGUGUAUUGUAGUACUGGAUUACAAUCAAUAGGCCGCAAACAGUGAAGUACUAGAUUGAAAGUAAAGAGCUGGAUUUUUAUAUGGUGAGAUGAUCAUUUCUCCAUUUCUGCAAUGAAAUGGUGCAAACAGCGUGGGUUAAAUGAUUUCUUGCCUAAUAAGAUGAUGUUUGAGCAAAACUUUGGGUGACUGUGUUGUUGUAUUAUUUAUUUCUUACAACAUCAACAACAAAGUCACCAUACAAAAAUCCAGCUUACUUCUUUCAAUCUAGUACUUCACUUAUUGCGUCUUAUUCAGCUUAUCUGCAAAAGAUUCCAAGUCCUUGUGCAAUACAUUCAACCACAAAUAUUGUUUCGUGAAAUAAGAUGACAUAGUAUAGUUGUUACAAUAUUCUCCGAAAUUGUGUUGUCUGUAGCAAACAAUAAAGUGAUAUUUUACAAGUUUUUUUGUUUUUAUUUUCCCGAACAAGCAAGUCAUAAACGGCUAAGAAACUAUCUAACAUCUCUUCCCGUCAUUAUUUUUUCAGAUUUCGAACAAUACUUCAGCGAACUGGAGCCGGUUGCGACAAAGAAGACGACUACCAUUUCCCUGGACAACCAAGAGUUGGAUUUUGUGCCCGGUAAACGUGGUACCAGUUUGCUCCGGAUCAACAACUAUUGCUACGCCAGAAAUAACAAAUCACAAAACUCUUCCUACUGGGUGUGCCGUACCAGAGCGCAACACCGGCCGUGCAAUUCCCGAGUCGUUACCACGCUGAAAAACAACGGACUGUAUCGGGUCGUGAUCACCAAUCCGGUGCAUCUCCACGAACCCAACAAAUCCGGUGCCAAUCGAAGUAUCAGGCAAGCGAGGAGGAUGCCCAAGCUGGUGGCUCCAAAGCCGGAGCUGGAGGAAAUUUUCACUUUCACGUUUGAUUCGGACUAGAAUGUGGAUGAGUUGAUGUAAUAUUCUUUUAUUACUAUAGUUUUUAUUAGCAAUAGUUUUUUUUUAAUUCUGAAAGUGCCAUAACGUCAUACCAUUCAGUACUGUGAAAUUAGAGAUAUAGUUAGUAUAGUUGUGAUAUUCUCCGGAAUUGUGUAGCAAAAAAUAAAGUGGUAUUCUACAACUUCUUUUUGUUUUUAUUUUUACGAAUAAAAGCUAGUCACGAAUGGCUGUGCAAUGAUCUAACAUCUCUUCCCAUCAUUCUUUCAGAUUUUAAACAAUACUUCAGCGAACUGGAGCCGGUUGCAACAAAGAAACCGACCACCAUUACCCUGGACAACCAAGAGUUGGAUUUCGUUCCCGGUCAGCGUGGUACCAGUUUGCUCCGAAUCAACAACUAUUGCUACGCCAGAAAUAAUAAAUCACAAAACUCGACCUACUGGGUGUGCCGUACCAGAGUGCAGCACCGGCCGUGCAAUGCCCGAGUCGUUACCACUGAGAGAAGCAACGGACUUUAUCGGAUUUUGAUCACUAAUCCGGUGCACAUCCACGAGCCGAACAAAUCCAGUGCCUAUAGAAGAGUUGAGCAGGUCAGGAGGAGACCCAAACUGGUGGCACCGAAGCCGGUGCUGGAGGAAAUUUUUACUUUCACGUUUGAUUCGGACUAGAACGUGAAUGAGUGAAAGUAAAAAACUUUUAUUUUGUUUUGGUUUUGCAACAAAAAUAAAUAGUUUUUAAAUACAGAUACUGCCAUAAUGUCAUACCAUUCAGUACAGCCAGUACUAAUAUAAGGUGAUUCCUUACUGAUACUGAUGGAUUAUGCAGUACUAGAAUGAACUUACGUUUUCUAGCCGAAAUUCCUACACUGUUUGCAAACUUUUGUACCCCUUAGACUGUCGUCGGUGGUUGCUUAACUGAGCUUAGUUGCAGUAGAAGAGUGAGGUGAGGCGAAUUACAAGUGUUAAAGCAACAGUCUCUCCUCGAUGUCACCACCUCAACUGGAUCAUGUUAAAAUAGACUUGUUUAGUCCGAUAAACAAUAAAAUAAAAACUACUCUGUUGAUAGAAAUGAGUUUGAUUUGACUGCUUGGAGUAUGUGCGUUACCUUCUUGAUUAUUAAACUCAUGAAAUUAUUUUUAUCGUUCUAGAUUUCAGCCAGCUUGAACUUAAUUAUGAAAUCAACCAAAAGGGCUUUCGAAGGCUGUUCAUUGGUGGGCACAGCUUCAUUCGAAAAGAGGCGCGUAAGAACACCAUUCGUUGGCGGUGUAAACACUACAAUGAUGUGCGUUACAAAUGUGCCGCUCGGGCUACGUCCAUUAAUGAGCCCAAUGGCAAACUUAUUUCCUACAAUGGCGAGCACAAUCAUGGAAUCAUAGGAAACGGACACAGACGAAGCGAUCGACAGCGAAUUGGAGCGGAACGAUGAGCAGAAUUUUCGGAUCAAUGUGUGUUCAUCAAGUCAGAAUUAAUUAUUCCCCCGAAUAAAAGCUGUGUGCGAUACUGUGAAACUUUUGUUUGUGUUUGAUUUUGAGUCAAAGCAACUGUCGUUGUACUAGAUUGCUAAUCAUUUGUAUUUUUCUUUUCAGUGAAAAAUGACGUAGCCUAUGUGCAGACAAGUCGAGGCAUACAACUGUCAAUCAAUGGUUAUUUAUUCAAAGCAUGGAAAUCGGUUAAGAACGUAGGAAUAUGGCAGUGUCUUUAGUUUUCUGAAUAUGAUUGCCCAGUACAGGCUAGUACGGAACGAACCAAGGAUGGAAAGCAAGCACGCAUUUCAAUUCAAGGACAACACAAUCAUCCCGCUUGCAAAGAUCGUAACAAAAACGCCACAAUGCGACCAGUUAUGAAAACCUACAGUAGAAAAAAAAACUCUAAGCCUCAAAAGGAAUAUUAAAUUGCUGCUAUUUGUGGGCAACAUUGUGAAGAAAAAAUAAAUUCCCAAUUUCUCUACUCAAGUCUAGCUUUCUCAGUUUAAAAGUGACAGCACUGAUUGACACGGUUCAAACCAUUCACUUACUAAUACAACGAAUUUCAUUUCAGUUCUUGAUGUGGACCAUCCAACCGUCCAAUACAUUGCGACCAACAAAUCGCGAAAAUUGAUAGUAAAUGGACACUCUUUUACGCGCAAGAAGCGAACCGACCGGUACACAAUCUGGGAGUGUUGCCAAUCGAGACCGCUAGGAUGCAAGGCUGCGGUCACAACCUAUCUGGAGAACGCCGGUGCAGUAAACAUUCGUGGAUUGCACAAUCACGCUAUCGUUACGGAACGACGGAGAUUGGGCCAGCGAAAGCAACUGAUGGAAGAACGUCAGCGAGAGAGAAUACGUAGGAAAACUAAAAUAGAUGAAGCGACAGUUUAAUUCUUGAAGUAGUGCUUCCUAAUCUCGAAAUCCUACACAAUAUGGCGUAUUUUUCAACGAACUGCUAAUUCGAAUUGAUAUACACUGAACAAAUAAACUAAAUAUCUGUAUGUGAUGUGAAGUUCUAGUGCUUCAUUCGUUUAAACCACACGGUCUCUCAUUAUUCUUGUUUAUUUACAGAUGUAACUUUUAUAAUGCAAAAAAUACUGCUCUUAUUUAGGGUUUAGGGAGUGUGCUUGAAACGACAAAUCAAUUCCUCAAAUUAUCAAAACCACUCAUACGACAUAUCUGAUUUUAUCACUGCAAAAUCAGUUUUUCGUUUCACUGAAUUCUUUUUUGCAGUAGUGAUCAGCGGUUAACUAAUCUGUGGCAAACUGUUUGUCUCAUUUACUCUGUUGUUUACGCAUGUCUUUGCACUCGGUAGCAGAAAACGGAACCGAACCUCAUGUCCAGUAUACGAUCAGUAGUCGUGGAACUCCGCUGCUAUUGCUAGACGGGUUCACCUUUACCAGGGAUAAGGAACGUAACAGUUUUACCUCGUGGAAAUGUGCCCAACAUCGUACGCACAGGUACGGAUAAUGGUCGCGAAAAGCUCGCUCUAGUAUUACAUAUUUUAACAUUCACUCUUGUACUCCCUAUAGCUGCAAGGCUCGUGCCAACGCCGUCCGGGAUCGCAGUGGCCAAAAGAAAAUUGUAAUCAAACACUCGCACAAUCAUCCGCUCGUAACCGAGCGAAGAAAGAAAAGUUCCUCUAGAUAAAUAAAUGCGCUACUUCUAGUACCUCAGCCAUAGCUAACCGACAACUGAGUUUUUUCAUUGAUUAUUUUGUUGUUUUUUUUUCAAAAUGAUGUUUGCUUCACAAUCUUAUUUGUUCUUUUAUAUUACCUUGAAGCAAUAUUCUGAAAUUAUAGUAUUAUUUUCGAAUUAUCUGUAUUGUCACGGUCGCCAUGCACUACAGUAUGCGGCAGGAAAAAAUGCGAAAGUGUUUUUCAACUUCAAACCUCAUUUUCGUUCAUUUGACAUUAACCAAUCUAUGUUUCAACGUUCCAUGAUCUAUAAUAGGCUAGUUUUCUGAAAAGUUAAUUAAAAAAUUUCUUAUUUUGGUCACUAACCUUUACAGGGCGGCGCCUGAAGAUGAAGACAACCAGAAUUUUCAAACCGCAGAAAAUCACACAGGUCGCUAAAUUUCGCAUCUGAUAAAACAAAAUUUUUAAUUUUCUCUACAAUAUCAUCAAAUAUAUGUACUUAUUUCAUCUGGUAUGUGAAACUACAUGGCUCUGGAUCAGUGUGGUCUGGUUGUUCAUCGAAUUUGAGCUAAUUUUGUUACUGUUAUAGUCAUUUUGUUGAAUGACCAUUGGGCGCGCAGUUUAUUGAUAUCCGCUUAUUAGGCCUACAUUAUCACAUGUUAAACAUCAAAUAUGUUCAUUUUUAUUUUUCAGUGCUAGAAUAUAGACAUUGACUGAUACACUGUCAUGAAAAAAUAGUCAUAUAUAUCCCAUAUUUAGCGUGUAAUAGUGCCUUGAACUUUUCGCAUUUUUUCCUGCCGCACCCUGUAUGUUGUUCUCUGGUCUUCAACAUUUUACCAAAGCCAUGUCUAAUUCGAAAGCCAAAAAGGACUUUUCAAAUUCAGCCUUGCAAUCGACAUAAUCUAGUACAACAGUAGUCUUCAAUAACUCUUGUGAUGAUCUUUUUGCUCAACAUCUGAACUUCUUAAAUUCUGACUCGGCAUGAUGUGCAUCAGAUGUACAAUGAGCUGCCAAUAGGAAGCAAUCAGUGAAGUACUAGAUUGAAAGUAGUGAGCAGGAUUUUUGUAUGGUGAGAUGAUCAGUUCUCCGUUUCUGCAAUGAAAUGGUGCAAACAGCGUGGGUUAUAUGAUUCCUUUCCUAAUUUGAUGCUGUUUGAGCAAAAGUUUGGGUAACUGUGUUGUUGAAGUUACAAGAAAUAAAUAAUACAACAACACAGUUACCCAAACUUUUGCUCAAACAGCAUCAAAUUAGGCAAGGAAUCAUAUAACCCACGCUGUUUGCACCAUUUCAUUGCAGAAACGGAGAACUGAUCAUCUCACCAUACAAAAAUCCAGCUCACUACUUUCAAUCUAGUACUUCACUGAUUGCUUCCUAUUUUCAGUUAAUGGAAUGGUCUUUUUUCUACCUCAACAAAUUGUCACGCACCAUAUGCAUAACUUUUUCAAUUUCAAAAUGUUGUUUAAGCUCUUAACAAUUGUCAUUCCACAGCUGAGGAAAAAUUAUGUCGGAUCAAGAUUUUCAAAAUACCUUAACUUGGAAGAUCAUUCAGUAGUAUUCUAGUACUUCAGUGAUUAUCUUUUGUUUGUUUUCUAUGCUGUCUUAGCACAUGCAGACAAGACAUAAUGUACAUACAUUAUUCACACCAUAAACUGUUAUUUUCCAGUCGAAAAGUGGUUCUCUAGUACCUCAAUGUAAAGCUUCUAAUCAUAUCAUACAAUUUUCCCCAGCACCAGUAACCUAUACGGUGAACGCUCAUGGCAAUCGACGAAUAUGUCACUUGGAAUACCUUUUCGAUGCGGAAAAACGUCGACACAAAUCCACCAGCUGGCGAUGCUGCCAGGCAAAGAAGCUUCGGUGUAAGGCUCGGAUAGUCGAGCGAAUCUCAAAGUGGGGCGAGCCAUCAUAUGAAUUUGUGCGGUCUUUGCACAAUCAUGAUGUUGAUCCUGUUGACACGCUGCUGGGAUUAAGCUUCAAACUUUAAGAAGCAAUGUUACCGAAGUACAAUACGUGUUGAGCGCUCGUGGAGGCUUACAGCUAUGCAUCGAUGGCUUCCGCUACACACGUGAUCGGAUUAAAGAUAACAAAAUUGUCUACCGUUGCGUGCACUACAAACCCUUAGGAUGCAAGGCACGUGCCCACACCGAUAAGGAUGACCCCAAGGUGAAGAUUAUCGAGAUGGAACACAACCAUCCACUGAAGAUGGACCGCCGAAAAAGUGGAGCCCUGAGACAGCUACUGGAGCAACGCAAACAGGAAAAUCGAGCGGCGGGUGGGCGUCCAAGUCGGAAAAAGUGAUGGAGAUCCGUUUUUCGGCAAUAAUCUAGUACCUCCUGCAGUUUGUAGGGACUUCGUUUGGCAUAUUCAAUUCGAAAGAGCUAUAGAAAUUGGUUGAAUACUGAGGUGUUAGAAGCGUCGAAGCGUCUUCAAUCUAGUACUACAAUUUUAUAAUCAGGAAUCUGCUGGUAGUUUAUUUGUAAUCAUUUAGUCUUACAGACAUCUUCAUGAUAGUUUAUUCUGGUUGAUGAAUAACUCAAUAAAGCAACUAUGAUUUAUAUGUUGAUGUAUGUCUAAGUUUCUGAGACAAAAAAAAAUCUGUUAUUUUAGUACAGUUAGAUACUUCGUCCUGAAAUAAUCACAUUCACAUUCAAACAAUUGUAGAACAGACCAUAUCGCCUGUACCACGACCAGCCAGGACGAUUACUACGAAGCUUUUCCGUGUUCAACAGAGCAAACCGAUCAUCGUCGCUGCCGUCGAGGGAUUCGUCUUUCCGCUGCAAUCAGAAGAGGAAGUGGAUCGUUUGGAGUACACCGCUCGAAGAGAUCAGCUCAUUCGUGAUCAAUAUGUAGCGUUGUUGCAGGAAGUGAAACCUCACCAUCAGGAUCCAUCUAAUGUUUUUGCAGACCUGUUUUCCGACGAGGCGCUUCUGGGAUACAACUAUUACGGGAAAACGAACCGAGCGAAGAAGAAGAAAGCCAUGCGGAAGUAUAUCAUAUUCACCGAUUGUAUGGUUGAUGCAUGGCUUUCGCAUGGGGUUACGGAAGAAAGUUUAAGAAUAUCUAUCGUUAAGGUCAUUGCCCGACUUAACCACAAAGUACGUAGCAGGGGAUAUCGAAGGAACCCUUCGAGCGUUACAACGCAGGGUGGUGCCGAAGUCGGGGAAGAAGUUUAUUGAAAGAAGUGUGAAGAUUUUGAAAAUUUUCCAGCGAUGCUAAGAAGUAAUGAUUUGUUAUGGUGCAGGAAGUUCCCAUGGUUAAGAUCAUUCCGUAAAGAACACUGCAGUACUAGAUUGCAACAUCUUGGAUUCGAUAAACGACUCUUGAAUCAAUCUGUUCAUUAAGUUUCUACAUUCUACAUAUAUUAGGGAAAACGCCUGAAUUUACUCAACUAUGCUAAUAUUUCUUUUACAAAAUCGUCGACAAUAUUGAACGCCUGGAAAACACCGUCCAUGGAAAAUCAGUCAUCUUCAAAAAUAAGUGAAAUUAUUCCCAAAUUUUAGUACUGCGAUGUGAACUUGGAAUAUUUGAAAUGCAAAUGGUGACUGCCAACGUUAGAAUAAACAUAGUUUUAUUAUUAUAAUAAAACAGUAAACAUUGGACUAAUAUUUUGUUAUAUAUCUACAGAGAUUAUGAGUUGAGCCUCUAAUACCUAAUUGUAUAAACUUUUUCAACUCCCACAGCGUGCAACUAUCAUACACCUAAACCGAAGAAGCAAACUGAGCAAUGGUUCACUGUCGAUGCAUUCCAGUACGUAGAGAAUCGCAAGGGUAAUCUCAAUCUUUUCUACCAAGGAUACGAGUAUUUACGGAGACGUGUUGCCGACCAAGCAACCAUGUGGGAAUGUAACAAGAAGAGAACCUGCGGGGCACGAGCCGUAACCCGGAAUGGCAACCAGAUCAAGCUAAACAAGUUUCGACACAACCAUCCGCAUUCGCGGCUGGCACGUGGUCCGGUUAUUGUACCCGCCGAUAAUCCGAUGCCGAUCAUCUACAAGGACGAGCCUCUGGAUUUAAAUGCUCUUGACGAGGCGAUUUCGUAGAGUGCUUAGAAACAGUUAUGUCUGUCAAAGCAUGCUCUAUUAUUAUAAUCUAGUACUUUCUAAAUUUGGGUUAACAACAAACAAAUAAAUCAAACAUUCCGUCUGAAAUCUAGUACUUCAUUUCAACCAAUAUACCGACCUUUGAGAACGUCACUAAUCAAUUUCAUGAUUUCCAUUCCAGAUUUCUACGUUCGGUACGUGACCGGUUUCCGGGGCAGUCGCAAACUAAAGGUGGGCGAGUUCAGCUUUACCAAAAACAAGGAGUGUGCAAACAAAACGUACUGGUCCUGCGCCAGGGCCGGCAUGAACAAAUGCAAAGCGCGGGUGUUGACCUACACGCUGAAAAACGGCGAAGAGAAUCUGGUGGUACGGUUUCCCACGCAUAACCACGGGCCGUUCUAGUACUGCACUGUAUGAUAACAUUAGCCAAUGGAAGCAUGCAUUUAGAUUAUGGAAUCAAACUGAUUUAGCACAACAUAUUUGCUUGAAGCAUUCCUGUGGCUGGUAGAACGAUGAUUUCCAUUCUCGAUCAUGAACUAUUAUAUCCAAUCAAUGAUCUUUUUAGCGGAAUAUGAAAACUGGUAUAAUUAACCACACAUUAAGUUGAAAAAAAUAGAAAAUUCGAUAAAUGCAUUAACCUCGCUGAGUACGAGUUUCAUGCAGCAAUUUCAACCUCAAACACUCCUCUCGUCGCCUCAGUUCACCUUUAAAACAUCCCAACGGAGCGGCCGUCAUCUGCUGGUGGUAAAUGGGGUAACAUUCUUCCGGA